AAUAAUAUGUAUUUACGACCUGGUCCGAGUGGCAGGGAGCCGCUGGAUGCAGGCCGCCGGUGACCGGUCGUGGUGGAAAGCCCUGAGGGAGGCCUUUGUCCAGCAGUGGACGUCCCACGGCUGAAAC